GAGAGAUCCAUCCCUCUCUAUCCAUCCAUCCCUCUCUAUCCAUCCCUCCCACCCUCUAUCCAUCCAUCCCUCCCUAUCCAUCCAUGAUGGAUGGAUAGGGAUGGCUGGAUGGAUAGGGAUGGGUGGAUAGAGAGGAAUGGGUGGAUAGAGAGGAAUUGGUGGU